rnacentral:rRNA from 1 species
UACAGAGGGGGCAAGCGUUGUUCGGAAUUACUGGGCGUAAAGGGCGCGUAGGCGGCAAUUCAAGUCAGCUGUGAAAUCUCCGGGCUUAACUCGGAACGGUCAGCUGAUACUGCUUUGCUAGAGUGCAGAAGGGGCAAUCGGAAUUCUUGGUGUAGCGGUGAAAUGCGUAGAUAUCGAGAGGAACACCUGCGGCGAAGGCGGGUUGCUGGGCUGACACUGACGCUGAGGCGCGAAAGCUAGGGGAGCGAACGGG